UGAGGAUCUUCUUCCGGGGGUCACGAGUUGUGUUCCGAUAUGUGUUUUGCUUUAUCGUUUCCAGUUUUUUCUUGAACUGUCUUUUACCUGAAACUUACUGAAAAGUCUUGCUAACAUAGUAACCACAUGACGCGUUUGUUUAAAGUGUUAAAGGGGAUAACGCACCGAGUUAGCUAGCUAAUGUAGCUAACGUUAGCUACCCACGUUACAGUGUAGCUGCUGACUUCACGACUAAGCUAGCUUGCAGGUACAGCGGCUCUGAGCAUGCUUAAUGUUAGCUAGCGAACUGACAGUAGCGGUCAUUCAACACGUGUUUGCUAUACGUUUGCUCUGAUGUUAGUGACAUAAACCGCCUAGCUUGAACAUAACAUUACCUCUCAGUGGAUAUGCCGAUCGGAGUGUGAUACUUAGCAAACAUGUUACUUGUUUAAUGUACAGCCCCAUUGCCAAUAACUUAAAACAGGCAGAAACGACCCUGGUGUGUAAAAAUGACCACCAGAAUAUCAGAUUAUCAAUGUAAAACGUUUAAUGUCAAGAGUAACAUGGAAAUGCUGGAAACACCAUUGGCAUAACAAUGCUAAUACUCUAGAUUUAGGAUUUGGAUGUAUAUUUAAACAUACAUGUAACUCUCUUUGCCUAGACCAGCAGUUUUAUUUAUAUUACAUUAUUAAUGCAUUUCCCCUGUUAAACACAGCAGUGCAGUUUGUGAAUAGGAACAAUAGGAAGUAGUGCUGUCACACAGGAUUAUGCAAUAAGAGUUGUAUACAUAUGUCUCCAUUUGCAGAGGAUCUUGCACAAGCAGUCUACAGUCAUUUCUUAACCCUAAGUUUCGUUUUAUUUCAGGAUGUCUAAACUUGAACGCCUGAAUGCUCGAGUGGCCAAGCUCCUGACUGAGGCGGUGCAUGAGGUGCUGGGGGCGGUGAAGGAGACGGUGUCGGAGUACCAGGAGAAAACUGCCAGAACACAGAGAGAGAACGAGAGUCUCAAGAGAAGGCUGCAGGAGCUUCAGGACAAGAUAACAAGAUCGAGCAUAGGUCUUGAUUUCACAGCUGUUCUACCUACAAGUAGUCCAUUACCUGAAGAAAAAGAAGACAUGCAGAGCCAAGAGCAGGAUUGGAUGCUCGCUUUUACGCAGGACCUGGACCUCCCUCUCGCCGAGCAAAACCAGAUAAGCAGCCACAAACCUGACCAUGACGUGAAGCAGGAGUUCAAACCACAGGAGAGCUACAAUAACACGGAACCACAAGCUGAGUUCAACUCCGCACAAACAACAGAACAUUGCACAGCACAACCAGAGGUGGCGACACACAUUAUCGAGGACGCAAUGACGGUCCACACAGCACAUAGUGCAGACACAGAGAUCAGUGCCGUGUCACCCAAUGACGCGUGCGCCUCUCACUCGAGAGCCUCACUCGGGGUGAACCUGGCGAUUAUCAAAAGAGAGUUCGAACUGACAGACUGCACAGCGUCAGAACCGCCGUCUCUUCAACAACAAUAUGGUGGAUGCGUAGAUUUAAGCUGCAACUCUUCUCGUCAGAACUCUGCUGAGACACCCGGGUCACAAGUUGGUGGCGAGCUUUGCGAGCGCGUCUUUGUCAACUCAAAACAUGCCCUAUCUAGGAGGCAUGGCUUUGCAAAAACCCACAGGGCUGCAUUUGAUGGGAGAAAAUUCCGGAUGGAGCACUUCAGGGGAGAUGACUCACACUUGUGUGUCGUGUGUGGGAAGACGUUCAGCCGGCUCGGGAACUUGAGGAUCCACCAACGCUGUCAUACAGGAGAGAAGCCGUACGGCUGCGUACAGUGUGGGAGACGCUUCAGUCAGGCGGGAGACCUGAAAAAACACAAGAGGGUCCACACAGGGGAGAAACCGUACUACUGCAGCCAGUGUGGAAAGAGCUUCAGUCGGGGGGAGAACCUGAAAAGACAUAAGAAGAUCCACAUUGGAGAGAUUUUACAGUUGCAGCAAGUGUGGAGGGAGCAACAGCAAUGACUGUUAUGCUAGACUGACUGCAAAUCAGCUGAAUCAGCACACUUUGUUUAGAAUCUGUGAAGGAUCUUUUUUGGACUUUGCCCUUCAUUUAAGAAAUAGUUGCAAUUAUAAGCAACAGAACACUUUGAAAUGCUAGUCUCUUGUAACUCUUUUGGAACUGUAGUGUGUUACAAUGAGUUACUUGCUGUUCUGGUGUGUAGCCAGUUGUGUGCUUGUUACGCUCGUCUUUUUGUCCCUCCUGAUUGUGAUGAAACAAGGCCGUAGAGUGUAAUCAUUUAACCAAAGAGACUGAAGCUUUACAGAGAGAGAUGCACUGAUACUAUCGGUACAUAAAUGUAUAUCUCUCUAAUAUUGUUAGCUGACACAAUUUGGUCAAUUGUGGAAUUUCACCUCAUAGAAAUGUUAAAGAAAUACACUUAAAGGUCCUCCACAGCCGUGAUGCAUUCAUACAGGUGACUUCAAUUACUGUGGCUGAUUAGAUGUCAGGACUUAGUGGAACUCUCUUGUUAGCUUUGUUGUACCUAGUUCUGUUUACUCCAUUUAACCUCAACUUGAGUAGAGGUGUAAUCAACCAGAAUAAGUGAAGACACCUGCAGGGGGUGUGCAGGGCUUUUAAGAUGGGCAUGAGUAAAUUGCACAUUUUAUUCAGCAACUUUAAAUGUCAACUUAUUUGUUUUACAAUGCAUAACAUUAUCAGUAAUGUGGCAGACAACACAAAAGGGAAAUGUAAGACAUUAACAUGUUAAAAGCCGUAUUAGUGCAUCUCUACUUUGCUGAAACAACUAUUAUUGAUUUUGGACAUUUAAAUCCAUUGAGCCUUUGGUCUAAAGAGCGGGUUGAAACAUUGUAAGGUGACAGUGUGUUAUAUAGUGUAACACAUCUGUGAAGACAGUUGAAACUUUUUCAAAUCUGGAUAGCAUGAUUCUCAUUGAAAUUGCCUGAUUUUCCAGACUUAUUGAAGCUUGCUAUAUUUAUUGCGAAUUUCAUUUGUUAUUAGUGAUGAAAGCCAGGAAAAUAGAGUUUGCGCAACAAAACAAUAAAUUUAUUUAUUACCACCACAAAAGGCCAAGUGAGCCUAUAUUCUUUAGACAGACAUCGCCUUACAUCCCCCCUGUGGCUGUUUGAGAUUUUUACCUCAAAUAAUGUCAUACAGCUGGAAUGUGUGAGAAAUGAUCACAUGCACGCACUUGACUUUACACACCAGAUAUUAGUGAUUUCAUAAUAGUUAUUUACCCCCCACCAGCUGUAGCCAGUUACAUAUGUCCCUACUACAUCUACUACAUCUACUGUGCAUUGUGUAUGUCAAUUAUCCAUGCAGUGCGUCACACACAUGGCAGCUUCAUUAUAUGACCGACUAUGAAAAUUUGCUUUACACUGACUCAAGUACAGUACAUCAAAUUACCUCAUUUAUACUUUAUAUUGUACACGGCUCCUACAACAAAUAAUAGAAAAUAAAUGCAAUUUUUAAAAAAUCCAAACACGUUAUUUCGUCCCACAAAACGACCUGAUGAUGCAGAACCUGUUUUAGUUGUCUCUUGGUUCAAAUCAUCUAACUACUUAAUCAAUCAAAUCUACUAAACCAAUUGAUACAGAUACUGACAGGCACUAAUGGGGCCCAUGGAAGUCUGGGGCCACCAUGCCAGACUGGUUUAGCAGAUACAUGUACUUGUUAAUUUAAGCUAUUUUUCUAAUGCAAAUCCCUUUGGAAAGGACAUUUAUGGAUAAAGUCAUUGGUGUAAUGACAGUGUAACAUAGGCUACAUCAUAACACAAUUGUCUUUAGGAUAAAAUAAGUUCCUCUAUGGUUGAUUUAGCUCUCAGCUGACGUGGAGCUGCCCUCACCUUGUCCACCAGGAAGUGAUUGACACACACCCAGAAGAGGAACCCGAAACAACGUUACACACUUCUGAAAGGUGAGCAAUAAAGAACCAUGUGGGGGAGAGAAAUAGUCUGCGCUCGCACUUUCUCUCAAGUUAAAGUUAAACAUUUUACAAACGGAAACCGAAAUUUACGAGUCACGUAUUAACGGGUAACAAACGGUAACACGGACGGUAAAAGACGUCACCGCAUUAAAAACAGUGGGCGAGAUAUUAAUGGCGGCAUGUUUCCAUCUAUUACCGAUAAUAACCGGUGUCGCCUUGUUGUGUAGGGUUUAUAAGUAUUACAUCGGUGGAUGUGGAGCAUUUCCUUAUUGCAACACUGGAAACGUAUUUGGCCCACAGACACGAGCUUAACUGUGAAUUAUUAAGCUCGUUAUUAGUUCUCUAUCAACAGACGACAUUAGUCAUAAAUGGGUGGACAAAGAAGGGUACCUCUCCAAGAAGGUAGGGAAAUACAAUAACAAAAUAAUAAUAAUAAUAAUACAAAAAUGGCGAGAGAAAGACUUCCUAUCAGAAGCGC